CCCCUAGUAACUGCGAGUGAAGAGGGAAAAGCUCAAAUUUAAAAUCUGGCAGUUAUUUGCUGUCCGAGUUGUAAAUUGGAGAAGUGCUAUCCGCGCUGGCCUGUGCAUAAGUCUCUUGGAAAAGAGCAUCAUAGAGGGUGACAAUCCCGUCUUAGGCACAGACUACCAGGGCUUUUGUGAUGCGCUCUCAACGAGUCGAGUUGUUUGGGAAUGCAGCUCCAAAUGGGUGGUAAAUUCCAUCUAAAGCUAAAUAUUGGCGAGAGACCGAUAGCGCACAAGUACCGUGAGGGAAAGAUGAAAAGAACUUUGGAAAGAGAGUUAAACAGUACGUGAAAUUGUUGAAAGGGAAACGCUUGAAGUCAGUCAUGUCUCACUGAAAUCAACCUGGCACUUGUCUGGUGUACUUUCUGUGGGACAGGUCAGCAUCAGUUCUGAUUGCUGGAAAAAGGCCUCGGGAAUGUGACAUCUUUUCGAGGAUGUGUUAUAGCCCUUGGACCACAUACAGUGGUUGGGACUGAGGAACUCGAUGUGUGGUGUGCUCUGGGGUUUCGGUCCUGGAGUCAUGCAUUCAAGGAUGCUGGCAUAAUGGCUUUAAUCGACCCGUCUUGAAACACGGACCAAGGAGUCUAACAUGCAUGCAAGUGUUUGGGUGGAAAACCCAAGCGCACAAUGAAAGUGAAAGUUGAGAACCCUGGUCACAAGGGGUGCAUCGACGCCCGGUCUUGAUCUUUUAGUGACGGAUCUGCGGUAGAGCAUGUAUGUUGGGACCCGAAAGAUGGUGAACUAUGCCUGAAUAGGGUGAAGCCAGAGGAAACUCUGGUGGAGGCUCGUAGCGAUUCUGACGUGCAAAUCGAUCGUCGAAUUUGGGUAUA
rnacentral:rRNA from 1 species